rnacentral:lncRNA from 1 species
AGAGUUGGUCACGUAAGGUUUAAAGCAUGGGGGUGUUCUUUCUCUGUUGGGAUAUUUUUGCAGCUUUUUAUUUCAUUGGAAUAGACUAGCUGAUAUUGACCUAGUCUCUGUGGGAUUCUUUUGCAACACUUGAGGAAUGACGCUUUCAUUGAAAAAGUGAAAGUGCCAGCAGUGAGACUAAGUACAUUGCUGGUAGCCACAGCAACAACGAAGCAAAAGCUGGACUCUUAUGAUUGGUAGCUGCACAUCCAUGACUGGAACAAGGAAUGGUCUGAACGUUUCCUUAUCUAGCAAAAAUAACAUCCUGUACAUGCGGCACAAGACUGCAGGUUUCAGCUCUUUAUUGCAGGAUGAAAUAUAAAAGAGAGAAGAAUGGGGAGGGAGCAAUAAAAAUAACACAAAACUAAAACCCA